rnacentral:rRNA from 1 species
AGUGAACGCUGGCGGUAGGCCUAACACAUGCAAGUCGAACGGCAGCACAGUAAGAGCUUGCUCUUACGGGUGGCGAGUGGCGGGCGGGUGUGGAAUACAUCGGACUCUACUUUUUCGUGGGGUAUCACGUAGGGACACUUACGCUAAUACCGCAUCCUCCCUACGGGUGAAAGCAGGGGAUCUUCGUCCCUUGCGCGAUUGUAUGAGCCGAUGUCGGAUUAGCUAGUUGGCGGGGUAAAGGCCCACCGAGGCGACGAUCCGUAGCUGGUCUGAGAGGAUGAUCAGCCACACUGGAACUGAGACACGGUCCAGACUCCUACGGGAGGCAGCAGUGGGGAAUAUUGGACAAUGGGCGCAAGCCUGAUCCAGCCAUGCCGCGUGGGUGAAGAAGGCCUUCGGGUUGUAAAGCACUUUUGUUGGGAAAGAAAAGAAGAAGGUUAAUACCCCGCUGUUCUGACGGUACCCAAAGAAGAAGCACCGGCUAACUUCGUG